AGCGAACGCUGGCGGCAGGCCUAACACAUGCAAGUCGAACGAACCCUUCGGGGUUAGUGGCGGACGGGUGAGUAGCACGUGGGAACGUGCCUUUAGGUUCGGAAUAACUCUGGGAAACUUGUGCUAAUACCGAAUGUGCCCUUCGGGGGAAAGAUUUAUCGCCUUUAGAGCGGCCCGCGUCUGAUUAGCUAGUUGGUGAGGUAAUGGCUCACCAAGGCUAGGAUCAGUAGCUGGUCUGAGAGGAUGACCAGCCACAUUGGGACUGAGACACGGCCCAAACUCCUACGGGAGGCAGCAGUGGGGAAUCUUGCGCAAUGGGCGAAAGCCUGACGCAGCCAUGCCGCGUGGAUGAUGAAGGUCUUAGGAUUGUAAAAUCCUUUCACCGGUGAAGAUAAUGACUGUAGCCGGAGAAGAAGCCCCGGCUAACUUCGUGCCAGCCGCCGCCGUAAAAC
rnacentral:rRNA from 1 species